AACUCGCUGAUGUUGUACACCUUCCGGUCGAUCACGAGCCACCGCUCCUUCUCGCGCCCGCAGCGCUGCGCCACCUCGUCCCAGAGUUAACCACAGUUACCUGCGUGGAACAGAUCCUUUUAGACAUUUUUCUGCCGUGGCCCUGCUCAGAUGUUCACUCCUUCUUGCGGCCUUCCCAUGUUCCGGGCCCUGUAUCUUUCUGCUCUUCUCUCCCUUGGCACUUUAUGUGGGAAGACAAGAAGAGAGCAAGGGGAUUGAAGGCAGAGAAGAGCCUGUGUCUCUGUGCUCCGUUCAUGGAGGAGGCAGCAGUUCCGAGCAGGAGACGUCUGAAAAGGCAUUUAGGGAAUCGCCCAACCCUGCAUGCAGCUGACAAAGAGAGCGAGUGUGACCAGGAUGCUUCCAUUCAUGGGGAAAGAGCCAGAAUGCACACCUUAGAGGACAAAUUUUGAAUGUAUUUGGUCAUUUUAUUGUUUUAUUCAUUCACUCAUCCAUUCGUUCAUUCAUUCAUUCAUUCAUUCAUUCAUUCAUUUUGAGAGAGAGGGUGUGAGAGCAGAGCCUGAUGUGGGGCUCGAACUCAUGAACCUUGAGGUCGUUGGUCUUUUAAUUGCUUUAAUUGAGGCAUAACAUACAUAUAGUAAAGUACACAAAUCUUAAGCAUACAGCUUGAAGAUUUUUACACGCGCACACACACGCAGCUACCACCCAGACAAGAAACAUUUCCAAUGCCCUGGGCGAUCGCCCCACCCCCAGCCGUGUGAGGAAACCACUCUUCUAACUGGUAUCACCAUCUCUUCACUUUGGCUCUUCUUGGGCCUCAUCUACACGGAAUCCGCAGCAUGUUGUAUUGUGUGUCUGCCUUCCUUUGAUCAUCCCUAUGUCUGUGAAGUUUCUCCAGGUCGUUGCAUGGAAGCAAUAGCAAUUCUUAGUAUUGCCAAGUGCUGUCCCACUGUGGGACCAUAUCAUGAUUUGUUUACGCUUCUUGCCUGCGAGGGAUGUUUGUCAGUGUUUCCGGUUUGGGGCUAUUGAGAAUAAAGUUGCCCUGAUUGUUC